rfam:Lutzomyia longipalpis Contig26332, whole genome shotgun sequence.
GUUUUCGUAGUGUAGUGGUUAUCACGUGUGCUUCACACGCACAAGGUCCCCGGUUCGAUCCCGGGCGAAAACA